UGACGCUUCCUGUCAUGCAGCGGCGCUGCACGGCGCUGGUACAGCCCCAUAGUGCAGCAGCCUGACAACACUCACUCGCUCCACUUUUCCUCUUGCUUAGGCCCUAUAUGUGGAGCCAUCUGGACGUGGAGAGAGGGGAGUCAGCUGCUGCACACACCGAGGCGCGGAGCCUGAAUCCGUCUCAGCUCAUUCUGUGGGAUCAUCUGCGUGGUGGGCUCACACCGUGGCAAAUGCGCUCUCCAUCAUUAGGUGAAAUGUUAGAAUAGAAAUAAAAGAAAUGUUGAUCCCCUGUUUGUUUGAUUGGUGCAGAAAAAAACUAAAAAAAAAAACUCAAAAUUUAAAAACAAAAAUCCAGUUUGGCGCAAGUGGAGGGCAAACUCAGAUAUUAUAUGUUAGGGGAAGCUGAUGACACGCGUGGGGGCCCCCUGCAUAUAUCUCACUCUUCUGUUCAGUGACCACAGUGACUGAAGCCCCCAAAGAUUUGGGUCUGAUACCAAAUCAAACUCCUCAGGAGGCGUGCUUUCCAAUAAAAAUGUUCAGGGCGACUUCCCUGGACCUCCGUAUUGAAAAAGGGGGUGACGUCUUCUUCCUUUUGUGUGUGAGUCUGUGUGUGUGAGUGUGUGAAUUUACGGGGCGAGGCCCUCAUGAUCUCCUUAAAUUUGCAUGUAAAUGGCGACAUCAGCCUCCGCGCGUGCCAGGGGCCAGCGGGCCUCCCAGAUGUCAAAGCAAAGUCAAUCAGCCGGCCGCUGCCCAGCUGUCCAUCGAUGCACUUCACUGGGACAACACUUUCAUUAUGCUCACCUGCAUUGUUUCCUAAUGGAUUGAUUGGCAAAAAAUGUUUAAAGUGUGUGUUUGUGUGGGGGGAAGAAAAUCUUAUUAGCGCCCACAGAAAGAUCUCUCUCACGGCUUCAUCACAGAGGUUGCUUUAAAGUGAUCUUCUUUUCGAUUAAAUAUUAAUCAAAUCUG